rnacentral:lncRNA from 1 species
GCAGAGGAAAAGACAGUUUGCCCCAGAACGUCGGGAGGUCAUUCGCGAAGAAAUUAACAAACUCGUCAGUGCUCAAUUCAUUCGGGAGGUCCAAUAUCCCGAUUGGCUUGCCAAUGUUGUUUUAGUAAAGAAGGCCAAUGGUAAGUGGAGGGUCUGCAUUGACUUCACAGAUCUUAACAAAGCAUGUCCAAAGGAUAGUUAUCCCCUACCGCGGAUUGACAACUUGGUGGAUAGCACGUCUGGACAUAAGCUAUACAGCUUCUUGGAUGCAUUUUCUGGUUAUCAUCAAAUCCUCAUGGCCGAGGAAGAUCAAGAAAAGACCUCAUUCAUGGCCGAUUCCGCCAUAUACUGUUAUAAGGUCAUGCCUUUCGGUUUGAAGAAUGCAGGGGCAACAUACCAAAGGCUCAUCAACAAAGUCUUUGCUAACUUGAUUGGAAGGAAUGUGGAGGCGUACGUUGAUGACAUGGUGGUCAAGAGCAAACAGGUGGACCAACAUAUUUCAGAUCUUGAAGAAGUGUUCAACACCUUGCGAAAGUACGGAAUGAAGUUGAACCCCGCAAAAUGUGCAUUUGGCGUGGCCUCGGGCAAGUUCUUGGGCUUUAUGAUCACUCACCGGGGGAUAGAGGCUAACCCUGACAAAAUACAAGCCUUGGCAUCUAUGGAAUCACCAAGGAACAAGAAAGAGGUACAGAGGUUGACUGGUAGGAUAGCAGCCUUGAACAGGUUCAUGUCCCGAGCAUCAGACAGGUGCUAUCCCUUCUUCAAAGUCCUC